rnacentral:tRNA from 1 species
UCCGUGGUGGUCUAGUGAUUAAGACUCCUUGCUUUCUGUGCAGGUGGUGCAGGUUCAACCCCUGGUCAGGGAA